rfam:Myotis davidii contig39019, whole genome shotgun sequence.
CAUGCACCAGUGGGGUCCCUUGGCCUGGCCUGUGCCCUCUUGCAAUCUGGGAUCCCUCGGGGGAUGUCUGACUGCCGGUUUCAGCCUGAUCCCCGCAGGCCAGGCUAAGGGACCCCACUGGUGCAUG